AUGCGCACGCAUGCGACCAUCAUCACGUCUACUCCACCACCUGCCUCCCCUACCUCCGUCAGCCUACUCUCCGCCCAGUCCCCUCAGCUCCAUCCCGAGAUCGCCAUUACCCAGUGCCACGCCCCUGCCACCGCUGCCAGUCCGCUAAGCUCUUCGAUCUCCACGCUGCUGCAAGACCCGCGCAACUACCGGGAGGUUUUGCUCUGCUCCCUGCCUCGGGCCCCUGCAUCCCCUCUCCCCCAUCCAUCGCCCUCUCCAGCCUAUAAAUCGCCUCCUUCCCAGAUGGUUAGCCUCAAACACUUCCACCACCACUACAGCCGCAAGAAGAAGACUAGGUGUUUUCGGUGCCUUGCUAGCGACCACACCAUCGCAGACUGUCGCGACCCCGUCCGGUGCUCUCGCUGCUGGUGCUCCGGCCACCGGAGCUACAGGUGCAAGGCCAUCCGCUUCCUCCCGUUCUUCCCUCCUAUGCCCCCUUCACCGCGUAUUAACCCUGCUUUUGUGCGACCGCCAUGCAGCUCUAUGGCACACACGACGGGCACCCACACCGCCUCCGGCUCGUCGGCCGGCUCCACGCGCUCCGAUGGCGCACCAAUCUGGUUCGGCUCCCACUGCGUCCUCACCAACGAUCUGCCGCCAUUCCGUCUCCCGCUCAUCUUCGGACCGCGCACCUCCUCAUCCUCCCCCCGACGCCGUCCUUCGCUCCACCCCCACCCCCUCCCCAGUCACCAUUCCCACCGCAACAUCAUGCUUCCCUCCACCGGCACCACACAUCCCUCUCCUUGUCCUUCCAAGCUGCCUAGUCCGCCAGGUGGACAACCUUGCCUACGUACACCUUGCCACUCCUAUGCCUAA
rnacentral:rRNA from 1 species